CCUACGGGAGGCAGCAGUGGGGAAUAUUGCGCAAUGGGCGAAAGCCUGACGCAGCGACGCCGCGUGAGGGAUGAAGGUCUUCGGAUCGUAAACCUCUUUCAGCAGGGAAGAACGGUCACUGUGCUAAUCAGCAGUGAAUUGACGGUACCGGCAAAGCAACCACCGGCUAACUCCGUGCCAGCAGCCUCGGUAAUACGGAGGGUGCGAGCGUUCAUCGGAAUUUCUGGGCGUAAAGCGCUCGCAGGCGGUAUGUCAAGGCAAGGGUGAAAUCCCCGCGCGCAAGGUGGGAACUGCCUUUGAAACUGGCAAACUGGAGUGUGUGCGGGGAUAGUGGAAUUCCAGGUGUAGGAGUGAAAGGCGUAGAUAUCUGGAGGAACAUCAGUGGCGAAGGCGACUAUCUGGCACAUAACUGACGCUGAGGAGCGAAAGCGUGGGUAGCAAACAGGAUUAGAUACCCGGGUAGUC
rnacentral:rRNA from 1 species